CAGCAGCCGCGGUAAUACGUAGGGUGCAAGCGUUAAUCGGAGUUACUGGGCGUAAAGCGUGCGCAGGCGGUUAUAUAAGUCAGAUGUGAAAUCCCCGGGCUCAACCUGGGAACUGCAUUUGAGACUGUAUGGCUAGAGUGUGUCAGAGGGGGGUAGAACUCCACGUGUAGCAGUGAAAUGCGUAGAUAUGUGGAGGAAUACCGAUGGCGAAGGCAGCCCCCUGGGAUAACACUGACGCUCAUGCACGAAAGCGUGGGGAGCAAACAGGAUUAGAUACCCCAGUAGUCCCUGUCUCUUAUAC
rnacentral:rRNA from 1 species